GUAGUGGGUGAAAGUCCCGUAACUGAAAACAUAAUCUUUUGAUAUUGUAUCCCAAGUAGGAAGGGACACGUGAAACCCCUUUUGAAUCUACGAGGACCACCUCGUAAGACUAAAUAUUCCUGAAUAACCGAUAGUGAACCAGUACCGUGAGGGAAAGGUGAAAAGAACCCCGGGAGGGGAGUGAAAUAGAACAUGAAAUCGUAAGUUUACAAGCAGUAGAAGAGCGACUUAACGCUCGACUUCGUGCCUGUUGAAGAAUGAGCUGGCGACUUGUAGGUUAUGGCAAGGUUAAGAUAAGAGAAUAUCGGAGCCAUAGUGAAAGCGAGCCUGAAUAGGGCUUUAAGUCAUAAUUUACAGACCCGAACCCGGAUGAUCUAACCAUGGCCAGUGUGAAGCUUAGGUAACACUAAGUGGAGGUACCAACCGACUGUUGUUGAAAAAACAGCGGAUGAGUUGUGGUUAGGGGUGAAAUUCCAAUCGAAUCCGGAGCUAGCUGGAUCUCCCCGAAAUGCGUUGAGGCGCAGCGGUUAAUGUUUCUUCUUAGGGGUAAAGCUACUGUUUUGGUGCGGGCUGCGAGAGCGGUACCAAAUCAAGGCAAACUCUGAAUACUAAGACGUUUAGUUAACCAGUGAGACAUUGGGGGAUAAGCUUCAAUGUCAAGAGGGAAACAGCCCAGAUUACUAGUUAAGGCCCCUAAAUAAUUGCUAAGUGGUAAAGGAGGUGGGAUUGCAGAGACAAUCAGGAGGUUUGCCCAGAAGCAGCAAUCCUUUAAAGAGUGCGUAAUAGCUCACUGUUCGAGUGAUCCUGCGCCGAAAAUGAAUGGGACUAAGUAAUUUGCCGAAGCUGUAAGAUGUCAAAACAUCGGUAGGGGAGCGUUCUACAUUAGUUUGAAGCGUUAACGAAAGUGGGCGUGGACGAAGUAGAAGUGAGAAUGUUAGCUUGAGUAGCGAAAACAUUGGUGAGAAUCCAAUGCCCCGAAAACCUAAGGGUUCCUCCGGAAGGCUCGUCCGCGGAGGGUGAGUCAGGUCCUAAGGUAAGGCUGAAAAGCGUAGUCGAUGGAUAACAGGUUAAUAUUCCUGUACUGUUUAUUGUUGGUAAUGGGGGACGGAGAAGGCUAAGCUGGCCGAAUGUUGGUUAUCGGUUUAAGUAUUCAAGGUGUUGAGGAACGGUGAAAACGUUCUGAGCUGAGAUAUGAAUAGGAAAGUGUUAAGACACUGAACUGGUUGAUGUCAUACUUCCAAGAAAAGCCCUAACUACCAUAAGCAAUAAAUACCUGUACCCUAAACCGACACAGGUGGGUAAGUAGAGUAUACUAAGGGGCGCGAGAUAACUCUCUCUAAGGAACUCGGCAAAAUAGCCUCGUAACUUCGGGAGAAGAGGUACCCUUUAUUGGGUUGCAAGAACCAGACGCUGGCGACUGUUUAUCAAAAACACAGGUCUCCGCAAAGUCGUAAGACGAUAUAUGGGGGCUGACACCUGCCCAGUGCCGGAAGGUUAAGGAAGCUUGUUAGUCUUUGACGAAGCUCGCGACUGAAGCCCCGGUGAACGGCGGCCGUAACUAUAACGGUCCUAAGGUAGCGAAAUUCCUUGUCGGGUAAG
rnacentral:rRNA from 1 species